ACUCAAAGGAAUAGACGGGGGCCCGCACAAGCGGUGGAGCAUGUGGUUUAAUUCGACGCAACGCGAAGAACCUUACCUGGGCUCGAAAUGUACAGGACAGCGGUAGAAAUAUCGUCUCCCAGCAAUGGGUCUGUAUAUAGGUGCUGCAUGGCUGUCGUCAGCUCGUGUCGUGAGAUGUUGGGUUAAGUCCCGCAACGAGCGCAACCCUUACCUCUAGUUGCCACCACGCAAGUGGGGAACUCUAGCGGAACCGCCUCGGAUAACGGGGAGGAAGGUGGGGAUGACGUCAAGUCCUCAUGGCCUUUAUGUCCAGGGCUACACACGUGCUACAAUGGCCGGUACAAACCGCUGCAACCCCGCGAGGGUGAGCUAAUCGGAAAAAGCCGGCCUCAGUUCGGAUUGGAGUCUGCAACUCGACUCCAUGAAGCUGGAAUCGCUAGUAAUCGUGGAUCAGCAUGCCACGGUGAAUACGUUCCCGGGCCUUGUACACACCGCCCGU
rnacentral:rRNA from 1 species